UGUCUGAGUCAGAGCUGCAUCCUCGGAGGAAUAAACGCCAAAACUGCCUCCUCGGCCGCUCUCACACCCCCAACCUCCGGCUUCUUCCUCACGACCGUCGAUGCUGUCAGCAUACGUGUUCUUUAUGAAUCUCUAACAGCACAUUUUCGGCCUAAACUGCGCGAAAAGCCGGGCAGACCCGCUGGAUCUCACACACGCAGAAGAACUACCUGAGGGGAGGGGAAGAGGGGAGCGACAAAGGAGCGGGAGUUUUUGCAGACCUGCUCAGGAGGUUUUGACUGAAACUUUCAGUAAGACACUCGAGGCUGAGAAUCUUCCCCGAAGCGUUUAGGACUCAAAGGCAAGUGGGAGAAAGCUUUUUUCCUCAGAGCGAAUGCGAUUGCACUCGCUGAAGGCAUUUCUGUUCUGCAGGGAAUGAGACAAGCAGAGAACGAGCCUCGUUUGCCCGUUAGGGAACAGCGCUUGGGGAGUAGGAAUGGCGCGCUUCCAUCCAGACCAGCGGGCGCUGCCACUGCCAGGAGCUCGCUCAGCCUUUCAGUGCAAACACAGCUCCUGCCGUUCGUAAGCAGCCCGUCUUUCUAACCACCAUAUCUUCUCUCCGCUGUACCCCUACGACGCCCUGCCUCCCUUGCCCGGCUUCAGCCCCUCCAGCGCUACGGCUGAUGGAGGGAGGGGAGGCGGCGGCUGGGGUUUCGUUCGACGCCCACCAGGGGCUGAGCGAGCCUUCUUCAGUGCGCAAACUCGGGGCACCAGAUAAAAGCUGGGCUGGCAGCUCUUACCGUGCCUCGAUGGAGCCGCCACUUUCGGGUGACUGGAGAAGCAGUUAGCAGCAGCGCCAUAGACUAGCGUCCCCCCACACCUUGGGCACAGAGAGUUUGGGGCUCUAAAGAGCUGCUGCUGCGGCAGGAGGGAGCCGAGGGCGCUUGGCUGGGGCUGUUCGCUCGGGUUCUGCCUGUUGUUGCGCGAAAUGGCGGCUGGCGUCUUGCGCCAGGGAGGACUCCGCGGGCAGGGCGUCCCCGAAGAGCUGGCUAAAAGAAAAGCAGGAUCGGGCCUGGGCUUCUCCUUCCCGAAUAGUGCCGGGGCUGUGCUGAGAGGAGCGGGAAACGAGCGAGAGGGGAGCAACUCACGCCUGCCUUUGUAACUGCGUCAGUACAAGAUGGCGCAGGGUGUCCCUGGAGAGGGAAGGGAGUUGCACGUCCGCCGGAGGUCAUGUGACCGCGUUGCAUUCCUGUGGGGUUUGGCUGCGGACCAAGCUGGCUUAGGCGGCGGCGGCUGCCCGGGAGAGCCCGGGCUUCCCUCCCCCUCCUCCUGCACAACGUCGUCGGUCCCGCGCUGGUUCCCUUCCCCCAUCAGCCUUAUGCACGAGGGUGUAGCUGCUGCCGAGGAAGGUUCUCGCUUCUCUCUUUACUCUCCACCCACCUCCAGGGUGUAGCUCCUCUUGGGGGAAGCUUUCCAUUCCGCCCCCUCUCUGCGCAAGGCUUUACCCACCGCCAGGGAAAGUUCCCCCUGGGUGCCUGCUGGCUCCGCCCGAGCGUGGGAGCCGGCUCGGUGCGAAGGCACUCUGCUCUAAGUUAAGUUGCAGGGGGUUAUGGAGUGGUUCUUACUGGAACAGUCGUUUUAAGCGAUGUCUAAAUGACCUCAUUAAAGCCGCUGAGGAAAAUGUUACAGGCCGUGCGGAGUUGUUCUUCUGCCGAGGAGGUCAUGGCUGUUCCAGUGUUGCUCUGCCGGGGGUACGGGUGGGGAGGCCCAGGGAAAAUCUCUCAGGUGUUUAUGACUUUAUUCUGUUUGAACAGGAGAAGUGGAUCGCUGUUCUUUGUGUGCUGUUGAAUCCUGUUGCAGGAGUUGAGCAGCUUUCUGUGGAGCGAUAGGUGUAUUCCAAAGUCAGGCCGCAGAUGGCCUGCAUCUUUAACACGGGAAUUGAUGUUUGUACUUAGUGCAAAU